rnacentral:misc_RNA from 1 species
UUGGCAUUUCGUUUACGUGACAUCCGAAGACGUCUUGCAUUAGUUUGAACCACUUGGGUUGUUUUCACACUCGUUAAACAAGCGGAAGAAAAUAUUGGGUUUAAAGUGGGGCCACUAAGUUCCCACUGAAUUGAGUUUCUCGGGACGGAAAACGAGCCAGCUGACGAAUCAGCCAACCCGAAUUCGGUUUAGGUGUGGUAAUGAUCCUUCCGCAGGUUCACCUACGGAAA